CGCGUUGGUCAACACAAACAGAAAUCCCCUCCUUCCUGUUCCCGCGAGCAUCUCUGCCUUCGCCCCCCACACGUGUGCGCUCCGGCGAGGGGGGCAGCACCCCGUUCCCUUCGCCGCUGCUCGUUGCAGCACCACCGUCGUAGCCCUCGUGCCACCCUUCUGCUGAAAGCUCGUCGUCGCAGCACGUCGUAUCCGUAGCUGAUGAACCAGACCAUUACAGCUCUGGCACGGUCGGUUCCAGCGCGCAUACACCAUGGCUGGAGCACCACCGGCGUCACCGCGGUCGUCAACUUGCAUAGUCGUGCCCAACACAAAACUCCAAAAGCAACAAAUCCUUCAUUUGUCGGUUGAAGCAAAAUUUUACCUGGUUCCAACAAAAUUGAACACCGGUUCCAGCAAAUAACAACUCAUCAGCGAAAACUUCAUUGAUCGAUUGUAGCAAAAAAUUACACGGUUCCAGCAAAAUGGAACACCGGUUCCAGCAAAACAACUCAUUAGGAAGAACUCCCGGUGAUUGAUUGUAGCAAAACAGAGAGCCCGUCCCAGCAUCCUGCGACGCCGUUUCCAGCAAAACAGAGAGCUAGUUCCAGCAAAAAAAAUUCCGAUUGUAGCAAAAAUUAAACAUUUGCUCAGCAAAAAAGGCUUAUGGUCUCUAGUUCCAACAUUUGUUAAUGUGGAUGUAGCUAUUCACCGGCCGGUUCCAACAAAAAACUCACUGAUUGAAGCACCGGGAGGCCGUCAUCUUCGUCGCUGGGACCUGCUGGUUGCAGCAUGGGUAGCUGCUGGCCGCCGUUGAUGCAUGCAGGACAGCGGGGCAAUCCAAGCAAAAACAAACAACCCCUGGUUGUAGCAUAUGUGGCUGUCUCCUACCUGAACAGCGCCGUCGGCCAUCUUCGCAGCGCCGCCGUGAUACGGCUCACCGGUGGAGAGGAACCAAGACCAAAGAGAGGAUGAGCGGCAGUGCAUGGGGGGUAGGGCGCGGAGCUGGUGGCGGCCAUCGCCGGCGCGAGCUAAUCAGGCGUGAAUGAAUAGAGGAAAAGGGGAUGAAUCGACCAGCGAAUGGAUAAGGAACGAGGGAGUGUGCGGUGGAGCAGAGAAAAAAAUAGAAACAAGAUAAGGUGGCGACGUGGCGCAAUGAAAAGGCCUCGAUUCAACGAGGAUCGAACGACCCGCGCGCGACCGGCCGAAGUUUCAG
rnacentral:lncRNA from 1 species